rnacentral:rRNA from 1 species
AAUCAACGUUGGCGGCGCGCCUAACACAUGCAAGUCGAACGAGAAAGUGGAGCAAUCCAUGAGUAAAGUGGCGUACGGGUGAGUAACACGUGGGUAAUCUACCUCUUGGUGGGGAAUAACGCUGGGAAACUGGCGCUAAUACCGCAUAAGUUCGUAAGAAGAAAGUCGCAAGACGCCGAGAGAGGAGCCCGCGGCCGAUUAGCUAGUUGGUAGGGUAAAAGCCUACCAAGGCUAUGAUCGGUAGCCGGCCUGAGAGGGCACACGGCCACACUGGCACUGAAACACGGGCCAGACUCCUACGGGAGGCAGCAGUGGGGAAUCUUGCACAAUGGGGGAAACCCUGAUGCAGCGACGCCGCGUGAGUGAUGAAGCCCUUCGGGGUGUAAAGCUCUUUCGACAGGAACGAUAAUGACGGUACCUGGAGAAGAAGCUGCGGCUAAC